GAUGAACGCUGGCGGCGUGCCUAAUACAUGCAAGUCGAGCGAACGGACGAGAAGCUUGCUUCUCUGAUGUUAGCGGCGGACGGGUGAGUAACACGUGGAUAACCUACCUAUAAGACUGGGAUAACUUCGGGAAACCGGAGCUAAUACCGGAUGAUAUUUUGAACCGCAUGGUUCAAAAGUGAAAGACGGUCUUGCUGUCACUUAUAGAUGGAUCCGCGCUGCAUUAGCUAGUUGGUAAGGUAACGGCUUACCAAGGCAACGAUGCAUAGCCGACCUGAGAGGUGGAUCGGCCCAACGGGACAGGAGCCCCGUACCAGACCCCGCAGGGAGGAAGCAGUGGGGAAUUUUCGCCAAGGGGCGAAACCUGGCCGGAGCAACCCGGGGGGGUUGAUGAGGUUCUUCGGUUCUAAAAACCUUUUUAUGGGGAAAGAAAAUAUGUUAAAUAACAUGUGCACUUCUUGACGGUACCAAAUAGAAAGGCAAGGACAAGGUAGGUC
rnacentral:rRNA from 1 species